rnacentral:rRNA from 2 species
CUAUACUGGCAGUCGAGCGAACUUUUAAAAGCUUGCUUUUAAAAGUUAGCGGCGGACGGGUGAGUAACACGUGGGCAACCUGCCUGUAAGACUGGGAUAACUUCGGGAAACCGGAGCUAAUACCGGAUAACGCUUCUCCUCUCAUGAGGGGGAACUGAAAGAUGGUUUACGCUAUCACUUACAGAUGGGCCCGCGGCGCAUUAGCUAGUUGGUGAGGUAACGGCUCACCAAGGCGACGAUGCGUAGCCGACCUGAGAGGGUGAUCGGCCACACUGGGACUGAGACACGGCCCAGACUCCUACGGGAGGCAGCAGUAGGGAAUCUUCCGCAAUGGACGAAAGUCUGACGGAGCAACGCCGCGUGAGUGAUGAAGGUUUUCGGAUCGUAAAACUCUGUUGUUAGGGAAGAACAAGUACCGGAGUAACUGCCGGUACCUUGACGGUACCUAACCAGAAAGCCACGGCUAACUACGUGCCAGCAGCCGCGGUAAUACGUAGGUGGCAAGCGUUGUCCGGAAUUAUUGGGCGUAAAGCGCGCGCAGGCGGUCUCUUAAGUCUGAUGUGAAAGCCCCCGGCUCAACCGGGGAGGGUCAUUGGAAACUGGGAGACUUGAGUGCAGAAGAGAAGAGUGGAAUUCCACGUGUAGCGGUGAAAUGCGUAGAGAUGUGGAGGAACACCAGUGGCGAAGGCGACUCUUUGGUCUGUAACUGACGCUGAGGCGCGAAAGCGUGGGGAGCAAACAGGAUUAGAUACCCUGGUAGUCCACGCCGUAAACGAUGAGUGCUAAGUGUUAGAGGGUUUCCGCCCUUUAGUGCUGCAGCAAACGCAUUAAGCACUCCGCCUGGGGAGUACGGCCGCAAGGCUGAAACUCAAAGGAAUUGACGGGGGCCCGCACAAGCGGUGGAGCAUGUGGUUUAAUUCCAAGCAACGCGAAGAACCUUACCAGGUCCUGGACAUCCUCUGACACUCCUAGAAGAUAGGACGUUCCCCUUCGGGGGACAAAGUGACAGGUGGCGCCUGGUUGUCUCCAGCUCGUGC